UGUGGCAUGUACGUUAGUUUGAAAAACCAGAACAAAAAGGAGACAGAGAGAGAAAGAGUGGGAUAGAGAAAGAAAGAGAGAGAAAAGCAAACAAGAAAACGUUAGACUCAUUAACAUUUUUAAUCUAUUCCAUUGUAGUUUACAUAGUUGAAACGAUUAUAAUAUCGGCAUUUUAAAACUUUUAACUUUUACAGCCUAUUAAAUAUUAAUGAACAUUAUUAAAGAAAAUGUAUUAUUGGAAAAGCAAAAUAUAUUUUAUGAGUAGAUCUGAUAAGUAACCCGGAAGCACAUAUGUAUUGUAAUAAUAAUUAUUAUAUCGUAUUAGGCUUCGUAAGUCGUCGUCGUCGUCGUCGUCAUCGUAGUUGUCGUUGGUAAAAGUCAAUUGCAUGAAAAGUUAUCGUCGAAGAAAUGACUCGUUCGUUCGUUCGUUCGUUCGUUAGUUAGUUAGUAGUUCGUUCGUUAGUUCGGUUGGCGGCGAGUCGCGUUGCGAGAAGAAAGCAAUAGCUCUAUAAAUAUCUCGUGGUACCUCUCGCGGAUCCGCUUGGCGAAACUUGUUUGCUGUAGCCGCUUGAGGCGCGUGCGAGGAGCUCGGAUUGGUUGAGGAUAGAAGGCUUUUUACCCCUCCAACCAUAGUCGCAUGCUCUUCAAAUAAGCCCUCUCUUCCCCUCUCGCGGCCAGUGUCGCGUUCGGCGGCCGUCGUCGCGCUUCCGUGAACGAUUCGUAAAGUAUUAUCAUCGGUAACACUCCUCGGCAUCGUUUAGUCCGCGAUCUGCCUCGCGAGCGAGCGAGCGAGUGAGUGAACGAGCGAUGGUGACUCUAAAUUUAGCGCUGACCGUCGUGUCUUGUCACGUCGUCGUUGGUAUCACCGAGGAAUACGUUUCGUGUGGUGUUUCUUCUUUUUGUUUUUUUCGUUUCUUUCUCUCUCUCUCUCUCUCUCUCUCUCUCUCUCUUUGUCGACUGGAUUUUUUUAACAGUUUACCUUUCGUCAUUAUUACUAUUAUUAUAUUAUUUGUAUCUUUUCUUUUUUCUUUCCUAAUUUCGAUAGUUCUCUUCGUUUUUGUUAUUCGAUAAGAAUAAAAUAUAGAUCAACCGUGUCGCGUAUAAUCCCGUCUAAUAGUACUCGUCGGAUUUGACAAUAUACUCGAUAGACAUAUAGUGCGAUCAAGAUUUCUUUGUGUUUCAUAUACUUCGUUUGUUCGUUUCUUUAUUUACUCUCGAUUAAUACAUUUUCUUGUGUCUACGUAACGAAAGUUUGACUUUUAUAUUUCAUCAUCAACGAAAACGUGCGACGAUAAGGGGAAAAAAAAAAAAAAGAAAGAAAUCUAAAUUGUCUCGUUGAUGAAACGAGA